rnacentral:rRNA from 1 species
UAGGGAAUCUUCCGCAAUGGACGCAAGUCUGACGGAGCAACGCCGCGUGAGUGAAGAAGGAUUUCGGUUCGUAAAACUCUGUUGUUAGAGAAGAACAGCGCAUAGAGUAACUGUUAUGCGUGUGACGGUAUCUAAUCAGAAAGCCACGGCUAACUACGUGCCAGCAGCCGCGGUAAUACGUAGGUGGCAAGCGUUAUCCGGAAUUAUUGGGCGUAAAGCGCGCGUAGGCGGUUUUUUAAGUCUGAUGUGAAAGCCCACGGCUCAACCGUGGAGGGUCAUUGGAAACUGUAAAACUUGAGUGCAGAAGAGGAAAGUGGAAUUCCAUGUGUAGCGGUGAAAUGGGCAGAGAUAUGGAGGAACACCAGUGGCGAAGGCGACUUUCUGGUCUGUAACUGACGCUGAUGUGCGAAAGCGUGGGGAUCAAACAGG